UUGGGCGAAGCUGAAAACCCUUAACAGAGUAGGCA
rnacentral:ncRNA from 1 species